GGAGUUGGAGUCAACGGCUGGUUUUCUGGAUGACAUCUCGGCCUUCGUUUCUCUGUCCACACAAACCAGGACAGGGACGUCUGAGGCGGUUUCAUCUCUCUGGAUAGGGGUGGUGGACAGUCCGAGGAGUCCAAGGUGUCUGUGAUCCAGGAGACAGCAAGGGAGCAGCUUUUAUAAAGCGGAGCGCAUGAACAGGUGGCAGCAGGUGGAGUCCCCCUCCACCCCUUCCUCAAUAUUGCUCUUAGAGAAACACACCCAUGCAGACUCAUAAACACCCACUCUCAGCACACACACACACACACACACACUCGCACACACACACAGGCAUAUAUACACACACUCUGCACACCCACAAACAAAACCUUAAUGAAAUUCCAAUUAUCUCGGGCUUCGCUCGGUGCCAUGUGUCACAAACACCAAAAGUCUACCAUCUGGUAGCUCAACUCACCACAGCUGAUGAUGCAAACCAACUUUUUAUGACAAAAAUUGUGGACAUUUUGCAAUUAAACUCACAUUUCCCCUUUUAACUAUUAAGAACUGAACUCUUAAUUUAGCUUUCAAUUAAACAGAAUAUUAAUAAAUGCAGUUUUAAUAGAAAAGUAAUUAAUAUAUCAAUCAGUGUUUUAAAAGUUCAAAUGUUUACUCCUGAAAUUUUGCAUUUUUCUCUGUUCUUGCCUUUUUUUUAAAAAAUAUUUUGUGUCUCAGGCAUUGUUUUAUUGAACUAUCACUCAGAAAUGAGUCUGUGGAUAUCGUUACUUCAUAUCUUACUUUUUAUGAAUUAAAUAUGGAAUAUUUUAAAGCAGCUCAGCUUUAGGGUUAUUAGGUUUCAUUAGGAUGCAUAAGCCAUCAAAAAGUUCCCUUUCACUUCUCAUGUAAUUGCUCACCAUGUGAUGAGAACUAUAAUCUGAGAUUAGCCCGAGGCAACAGAAGUGUAAGUGUGGUCCGUAACCUGAGGGAUUUUAACGGCACAUUAAGGGAUUAUGGCUCUGAAACAAUAUGGACCAAGAUGGUGUGAAGAUUAAGGUUUUGGGCAUCACUUUGUGCAGGUGUGCAAAUGUUUAAACCUCCUCUUAUCAGUGCCAUGCUUCUAAUGAAUCACAGUAUAUAAAAUGCAUUAAUGCUCCUUCUGUACUCGGGGUCACAUGUGAAAUAAAUAAUUGAUCUGUUUAGUCGCCCGAGAAAAUGAGACAGACAGAAUAAUUUGUCUGUCUGUCCGUCCCAUCUGCCAACAUUGAAUUCUGUAAUUCAGCAGGUUCCUGUGGCACAGAGACACAGUCGAUAAACACAAUAAGUAGAAGUUGAAUCAGAAUGACUACCUGGUCCUCAGUUUUACUGUUUUAUUUGUUCUUCACGUGAAUAUUUUAAUGUUAUACCUUAUUUUGUACUUUAAGUUAACUACUUUAAGACAAGCACAUUUAAUUUAUCUAUGUGUUCUCUUGCUUUUUCUUACUGUCACUUUGCUGCUGUGACAUUGCAAAUUUCCUGUUGUGGGACUAAUAAAGGGUAUUCUAUUCUACAUUUUA